CCGCCGUAAUGAUUAAUAGGGACAGUCGGGGGCAUCAGUAUUCAAUUGUCAGAGGUGAAAUUCUUGGAUUUAUUGAAGACUAACUACUGCGAAAGCAUUUGCCAAGGAUGUUUUCAUUAAUCAGGAACGAAAGUUAGGGGAUCGAAGACGAUCAGAUACCGUCGUAGUCUUAACCAUAAACUAUGCCGACUAGGGAUCGGACGAUGUUAUUUUUUGACUCGUUCGGCACCUUACACGAAAGUACAAGUUUCUGGGUUCUGGGGGGAGUAUGGUCGCAAGGCUGAAACUUAAAGAAAUUGACGGAAGGGCACCACCAGGGGUGGAGCCUGCGGCUUAAUUUGACUCAACACGGGGAAACUCACCAGGUCCAGACACGAUGAGGAUUGACAGAUUGAGAGCUCUUUCUUGAUUUCGUGGGUGGUGGUGCAUGGCCGUUCUUAGUUGGUGGAGUGAUUUGUCUGCUUAAUUGCGAUAACGAACGAGACCUUAACCUGCUAAAUAGCCCGCGUUGCUUUGGCAGCGCGCUGGCUUCUUAGAGGGACUAUCGGCUCAAGCCGAUGGAAGUUUGAGGCAUAACAGGUCUGUGAUGCCCUUAGAUGUUCUGGCCGCACGCGCGUACACUGACGGAGCCAGCGAGUCUCUGGCGAAAGCCCGGGUAUCUGUAAACUCCGUCGUGCUGGGA
rnacentral:rRNA from 1 species